GCAACAACGAUGGCUACACACUGCACAAUACUUGAUCUUGAAUAUCUGAGAAAUAUCUUUCCUAGGGUUAGGGUUAGGUUUAUCUAAAACUGUUCUGAAGGGUUAGGGUUAGAAUUGUGGCUAACACACUUUCGAAGUUUCGAUAACUUUAACAUGGAGAUGUGUUUGGAUGAAGUUUGAAAAUAGUGUGAUGGUCAUUUGAGCAGAAUUUCUUGAAGAUAUUUGUCAAUAAUGAUUUGAGUUGAGGAAGAUGGCUGAGCACAAAAUGAAAAAAAAGUAGGCCUACACUGUACCGGUAAUAUUUAUAUACGCAGUUAUUCGCCUUUCUAAAACAGAGGGGUGUUAUAUAUUGUCCAAUCGACAGUGUCUAAUCCACCAAUCAAAACGCAAAAUUCACCCUUAAGCAUGUUACAAUGCCGUGUCGAUACUGUUUUUUUUCCCGGUCUCAGUGUGGUGUUUGGUAACUAUGUUUUUAGGACAAUUGUGAUACAAGUGAAUGGUGAACUUUAUAUGUGUGUGUCGUAAAGUGACGACUAUGAUUAAUUUUAUAAUUCCUCCGGGGAAAGUGAACUUUAAUUUCGUGAAAACCCAUGCUUUUUAACAUGGCAAUCUCCAUAGACAUCAUAAACUCUGUGAACCAUGAACUCUGUGAACUGUGAAUUCCGUGACUCGUGGACUCUAAUUAUUGAAUUAGAACUGUCAACAAAGAAAACUGUCAACUUGUUUAUGUUUGUACUGUAACUCCUGUUUCUUGUAUAUGUUUAUUUACAUAAAUAUUCAUUAAUA